rnacentral:rRNA from 1 species
GUAGUCCACGCCCUAAACGAUGCGAACUGGACGUUGGGAGCAACUUGGCUCUCAGUGUCGAAGCUAACGCGUUAAGUUCGCCGCCUGGGGAGUACGGUCGCAAGACUGAAACUCAAAGGAAUUGACGGGGGCCCGCACAAGCGGUGGAGUAUGUGGUUUAAUUCGAUGCAACGCGCAGAACCUUACCUGGCCUUGACAUCCACGGAACUUACCAGAGAUGGUUUGGUGCCUUCGGGAACCGUGAGACAGGUGCUGCAUGGCUGUCGUCAGCUCGUGUCGUGAGAUGUUGGGUUAAGUCCCGCAACGAGCGCAACCCUUGUCCUUAGUUGCCAGCACGUAAUGGUGGGAACUCUAAGGAGACUGCCGGUGACAAACCGGA